CAAAACAAUUUUUUGUGUGUGAGACAUAUCAUUUUGUGUGCAAAACAGGUUUUAUUUGUGUGCAACACAUUUUUUUGCUUACAACGUUUUGGCAGGAAAUUAUCUCCAUAUGAAUGUCUUUGGAGACGUGUGGUGCGCAGGAACUAACAUACACAACAAUGUGCUGCACUCAGGAGAGGACAACAAUUUGCUUGACCUGUCAAACAUGUUAGAUAACUUCUGUUGUCACUAUUUAUUUGUCCCAAGACUACAACUAAGUUUUCACACCAUCAGCAGUGGCUGGGAUGACAAUUCACUCAGAACUGAAGGGAAUCUAACACUCAGUCAGUUAUGGGAGAUGGGAAGCAUCCAGCAUGCUGUUGUAGAACCAGAAAUCACAGAGGGACUCUGCCUGCCUCAUAUUGACUGGGACGACAGUGGACUGCUUGAUGACCCACACUGUGGGGUCACUAUUCCUGAAACUGGCAAUGUGUUGAGCCCCGAACAACUGGUAGCACUGAGGGCAGCCAUGGAUGCACUGGGACAUUCUGAAUCGCACGGCUCAGAUAUAUAUAUAUAUAUAUAUAUAUAUAUAUAUAUAUAUAUAUAUAUAUAUAUAUAUAUAUAUAUAUAUAUAUAUAUAUAUAUAUAUGUUGCUACUGUCCAGUAUGACCAACACUUUACGGGUUUAAUCUUAUUGUGGUUACCAUUGUUACAAAAGGUUUUUAAGUAG